UACGUAGGGUGCAAGCGUUGUCCGGAAUUAUUGGGCGUAAAGAGCUCGUAGGCGGUCUGUCGCGUCUGGUGUGAAAACUCAAGGCUUAACCUUGAGCUUGCAUCGGGUACGGGCAGACUAGAGUGUGCUAGGGGAGACUGGAAUUCCUGGUGUAGCGGUAAAAUGCGCAGAUAUCAGGAGGAACACCGGUGGCGAAGGCGGGUCUCUGGGGCAUAACUGACGCUGAGGAGCGAAAGCAUGGGGAGCGAACAGG
rnacentral:rRNA from 1 species